GAUGAACGCUAGCGGCAGGCUUAACACAUGCAAGUCGAGGGGCAGCGCGGGAUAGCAAUAUCCUGGCGGCGACCGGCGGACGGGUGCGUAACGCGUGAGCGACAUGCCCGUUGCCCGGGGACAACCGGUGGAAACGCCGACUAAUCCCCGAUGGGAUAUUGUGCCGCAUGGCACGAUAUUGAAAGUUACGGCGGCGACGGAUUGGCUCGCGUCCGAUUAGCUUGUUGGCGGGGUAACGGCCCACCAAGGCUGCGAUCGGUAGGGGUUCUGAGAGGAAGGCCCCCCACAAUGGGACUGAGACACGGCCCAUACUCCUACGGGAGGCAGCAGUGAGGAAUAUUGGUCAAUGGGCGGAAGCCUGAACCAGCCAUGCCGCGUGCGGGAAAGAGGCCCUAUGGGCUGUGAACCGCUUUUGCCCGGGGGCAAUAAGGGCGUCGCGCACGUCCGAUGAGAGUACCAGGCGAAUAAGCAUCGGCUAACUCCGUG
rnacentral:rRNA from 1 species